AUACGUAGGUGACAAGCGUUGUCCGGAUUUACUGGGCGUAAAGGGCGUGUAGGCGGUCUUGCAAGUCAGAAGUGAAAUUCCUGAGCUCAACUCGGGCGCUGCUUCUGAAACUGCAGGACUUGAGUGCUGGAGGGGAUAGCGGAAUUCCUAGUGGAGCGGUAAAAUGCGCAGAUAUUAGGAAGAACACCGGUGGCGAGGGCGGCUAUCUGGACAGGAACUCACGCUGUGGCACGAAAGCGUGGGGAGAAAACAGGAUUUGAUACCCGCUUAUACCACGCCGUAAACGAUGUAUACAAGGUGUAGGGGGUAUCGGCUCCCUCUGUGCCGCAGUUAACACAAUAAGUAUUCCGCCUGGGGAGUACGUUCGCAAGGUUGAAACUCAAAUGAAUUGACGGGG
rnacentral:rRNA from 1 species